AGUGAACGCUGGCGGUAGGCCUAACACAUGCAAGUAGAACGGCAGCACAGUAAGAGCUUGCUCUUACGGGUGGCGAGUGGCGGACGGGUGAGGAAUACAUCGGAAUCUACUUUUUCGUGGGGGAUAACGUAGGGAAACUUACGCUAAUACCGCAUACGACCUACGGGUGAAAGCAGGGGAUCUUCGGACCUUGCGCGAUUGAAUGAGCCGAUGUCGGAUUAGCUAGUUGGCGGGGUAAAGGCCCACCAAGGCGACGAUCCGUAGCUGGUCUGAGAGGAUGAUCAGCCACACUGGAACUGAGACACGGUCCAGACUCCUACGGGAGGCAGCAGUGGGGAAUAUUGGACAAUGGGCGCAAGCCUGAUCCAGCCAUACCGCGUGGGUGAAGAAGGCCUUCGGGUUGUAAAGCCCUUUUGUUGGGAAAGAAAAGCAGCAGGUUAAUACCCCGCUGUUCUGACGUUACCCAAAGAAUAAGCACCGGCUAACUUCGUG
rnacentral:rRNA from 1 species